rnacentral:lncRNA from 1 species
GUUCCGCCCAUGACAAACCUUUUUUCUCUAUUCUUUCACACCGGUACAAACAAACUGAGACAACGCACAGGAGAGAGAGAGAGAGAGAGGAGGAGGGUCGGCCACUGUUUCGGAGACCUUCUCUCCGACGACGGUUAUAUUCUUCGUGGUCGUUGAUGGAAACGCAGGAGAACACGCAUUAAGCGGAGAUGGAGCCCUAGCUCUCCGGCAAUGGCGGCUAGGGUUCUGAAGACAAAACGUUUUCACCAUCGGUGGCUUGAUUUUGCCGAUUUGUUUUUGAUUCUGAGUUCCAGCAAUGGUGGUGGUGCAAAAUCAGCAUAAGUUGUAUUGUGCCAGCAAGGUGUAUGUCGUUGAAUUUUGUUGUGAGAUAUACAUAUAUCAUCAAUUCUGUUGUUCUUCAGGCAAGUUGUCUUGAAUCAUUUAAUUCAAGAAAGUUGUAAUUUUGAUGGAUUAGGUUUUAGUCUUCAUGUUUGCUAAAGUAGGAUGAUUUCUUGCCUAGGACAACCACAACUUUGAAAGACACUUUCAAACCACUCUUCUGGCAAUAUCAAAUAUAUACAAUUAUUUAAUAGUAUUGCU